AUUGAACGCUGGCGGCAUGCUUUACACAUGCAAGUCGAACGGCAGCGCGGGCUCGGCCUGGCGGCGAGUGGCGAACGGGUGAGUAAUGCAUCGGAACGUGCCCAGUAGUGGGGGAUAGCCCGGCGAAAGCCGGAUUAAUACCGCAUACGACCUGAGGGUGAAAGCGGGGGACCGAAAGGCCUCGCGCUAUUGGAGCGGCCGAUGUCGGUUUAGCUAGUUGGUGGGGUAAAGGCUUACCAAGGCGACGAUCCGUAGCUGGUCUGAGAGGACGACCAGCCACACUGGGACUGAGACACGGCCCAGACUCCUACGGGAGGCAGCAGUGGGGAAUUUUGGACAAUGGGGGCAACCCUGAUCCAGCCAUGCCGCGUGCGGGAAGAAGGCCUUCGGGUUGUAAACCGCUUUUGUUCGGGAAGAAAUCCUCUGGGCUAAUACCCCGGGGGGAUGACGGUACCGGAAGAAUAAGCACCGGCUAACUACGUG
rnacentral:rRNA from 1 species